rnacentral:antisense_RNA from 1 species
CUUUAUGGGCGGGUCGUGUGGGGAGCAGAAAUGCUCACCGGUUCCCUUGUUCCGGCACGUCAACCCAUGCGAUUCCGCCCACCCGA